GUGCUGGUUCUUUCCGUUUGGUUUUCUCUCACCUGCUCAAGAACCUGUGCAGGGAGGGUGCCAUUUUCCAUCUUGCAGAUGAGGAAACCCAGGCUUGGGAAGGCUGAGUGACCCACCACAUAGCCGGUGAGGGGUGGGUUCAGGACUUCAAACUGGGUCUUCUCCCAACUUCAAACUGUCUCCUGCACCUUGCUGCGGCGCUUCCUCCAAAUCCUCAGUGAAAGGGGCUUGUUCCCAUUUAGAAUUCUGAGUUUCUGGGGGUGGGCUCUCACUCUGUCUCAGUUUGGGAUUUUCUUUUCUUCUAUCCAUUGGUACCUUUGUUUUUGGUGCCUAGAUUUUUAAAAGAGUUGGGAAGUAGACUAUUACAGCUAUAAAAUACAAAAUACAAAAAU
rnacentral:lncRNA from 1 species